rnacentral:rRNA from 1 species
GACGAACGCUGGCGGCGUGCCUAAUACAUGCAAGUCGAGCGGACUGAAUGGGAGCUUGCUCUUGUUCGGUCAGCGGCGGACGGGUGAGUAACACGUGGGCAACCUGCCCGCAAGACCGGGAUAACUCCGGGAAACCGGAGCUAAUACCGGAUAACACCGAAGACCGCAUGGUCUUUGGUUGAAAGGCGGCGCAAGCUGCCACUUGCGGAUGGGCCCGCGGCGCAUUAGCUAGUUGGUGAGGUAACGGCUCACCAAGGCGACGAUGCGUAGCCGGCCUGAGAGGGUGACCGGCCACACUGGGACUGAGACACGGCCCAGACGCCUACGGGAGGCAGCAGUAGGGAAUCUUCCGCAAGGGGCGAAAGCCUGACGGAGCGACGCCGAGGGAGCGAAGAAGGCCGUCGGGUCGGAAAGCUCUGUUGUGAGGGACGAAGGAGCGCCGUUUGAAGAAGGCGGCGCGGUGACGGUACCUCACGAGGAAGCCCCGGCUAACUACGUG